CUCACGCGUCCGCCCGCGCCCGGCUGCGACCUGCGGCCGCCGAGGUACCCCGGCCCUGCUUCCGCUCAGCCGGCAGGGAGCGGCCCGGGGAGGGGGCGGAAAGAAGUCACUCCCCUUCUAAAAAGUGGUGGUGUCCCCCUCCGGCUUUCGUGAGCUCCUUAUUGCCCGCACCUGAACCCGGCUUAACUGAUCCCUGCCCUUGCUUCUCCUUGACUUGGUUUGAAUUGAAGGGGCAAUACAAGCGUUUUAAUUGAAAUAAGCAGCUCGGGAGUAUUUUAUUGGCGCUCCAGAGCACUGUGUGUCUGUCCCGUCCCCUCCACCCCCAGCAAUAAACGCAGAGUGGGUGAGUGAAAGGAAGGUGCAGUCCACAUUUCAGGAUUUUUCCUGGACCCUUCCUCCACUCUGCUGUCCAUCCUGUCAUCGCCUAUGAAACUGUGUGCUAAAGUCUGUCAUUUCUUGUGCAUGAAAAAUGAGCUGGGCAGUACAGCCUGUGAAGAGGAUUUGGCACUUGGAAGGAACCCAACACACAGCAUGAGAAAGGCUGUUGAAAGGGAGAUCUUUCAUGAUCUUCCCAUGAGCAUGGCUGAACCAUUACAUCAUCUGGGAUUUUGUGACCUUGCAAAGUGGAUGUUCUACUUGCAUGAGGAAGGUCCCAUUAAAUCCAAACCAAGAUACCAUAUGUUUAAAAGAUAAGUGUUUGAGAACUAAUGCUUUUAUCUUACUAAACUGUGUUCUGAGAUUAAUGUUUAACAUCUUAUAGUUCUAUGAUGCAUGUUUGAUUAUGACUCAAUAAUGACAUUUGAACUAUCCAUACAGUGCAAACUUGAAGUCCACUGUAAAAGAGAAGUAAAAUACAAUGAAAAUAGAAACAAACAAAAAGUUACUCAGAGUGUCUUAGAGGUUCCCUUUUCAUAUUUUAAUGUGCAGUAAUACAGAGAACGGCAUGGCAAGAAGACCAGUGGGUAUUUUGGUUAGUUCCUGGUACAACUACGGAAACCACAAAACCACAUCAAUCUCUAGUUGGCUCAACCAGUUACAACAUAAAACAUUUCUGAUUUUGUUUCUAGAACUGCAAACCACAGGAAUAAAGAAGGUUUAGCUUAUUUUCAGCAAUCAACUUAGAUUGCUUUCAGAACCUCAUUGACAUUUAAAGUAAAUGUCUCAGCGCAGUUCUUGGGUGUGACAUGAAGCAAGCCACGCAAGCACUGGUACCGUGUGUGCCUCAGGAGCUGUGAAAAUUUAAUUCUGACUAUUUUCUAAAAUUACUUCUGAUUCCUCCAGGAAUCAACAUAUCUCCUUGCCAUAUUUUAUGUCAUGCUACAUAGGGAAAAGAUGGUUAUCAGUGCAUUUAAAUAAUCAAGUUUUAUUUUCCUGUAUCAACUGCUUCACAAAAUAGACAGUGAGUAAUACAAAUUGGGGGAAAAGAUUGUUCUCUGUUCUCAGCAGUUGUUAAGUGACUAUGUAUAGCAGGACUGAUGACUACUGAUCUGGAGAUAAUGUUGUUUUCUUUGCUUAAAAGGUGUACCAUUACCUUAUGAAGCCUUAAGAAGCCUAUGCUUCUUACCCAGUGGCAUGCAGCAGAUACAGCCAAGCAUGCAUCAAUCCCACUGGUUUGGAAUGCUGCUGAGGCAAGGAGCCAGUAUCUCAGCCCAUCACCUGACAGGUUAAAUUCUGUGGUUAUGUCCAGCCAAGCCUCUGAAUGACAGUGCUGACUGCAGAGGGCAUCCUGAGAGUUUUCUUAGCAGUGUCCAAACAGCCAUCUCAAAGCAGCUAUGCAAGAUUCUCUAGGAUCCCUAGAGCAGGACAGAUACGCUCCAUAUGUCCCAGUCAUUGGAGGACUAUGCACUGAAAGCAAGGCUGACCCAUUUAGAAAGUUUGCCCCUCCCCAAUAAUGAUGAUAUUGAUGAUAUAGACAACCCCUCCAUGGUCAGCUAUACUGGAUAUGCAAGCUGCCUAACAGCUGCAGCACAAUCAGAAAUCCAGGGACAUGGGAACAUAGGAAAUGUUUUCUACAUCUGAAAAAGUCUGAACCUUGAAGCAUAAUUAAAUCUUUCUGUAAAUGAAAGGUCAAACAACGACAUUUUUCUUUGAUGUAGAUCAUAGACAAAUAGAUUUUAGUUUUAAGUAUAGCAGUACUUUUCAUCAAUCACUGCAAUAUUUAAACUGAAAAUAACCUAGAAACACCUCUGUGUUUGACAUCUGUAACCAAAUGAAUGCCUGGUUAUUCUUCCUGCCACAAAUUCCAUCAGUUCUUCUUUUCUCUUUCAUCUGGCUAGAAAAGAAAAGUUAUGUUGAAGUUAACUCAUUGUAUAAAAACAGUGGUCUGAUGACCCAAUACAUGUUAGGAACUGAAUUUCUUCGUGAUUUAUGAAUCUUUUAGUAAUAUAAUGACAACAUCAAAUAUAUGUUCCAGAUAACUAUAUUACAACCAGUAUUUUUUGUGGAUUCAUGAUCUGGUAAAGAGGAAUAUGAGGAAAGUCACCAUAAUUUAGGAUAGCCAAAUCCAGGAAGACAUCAAAGAAUAUCAGAAAUAUUUAUUAAUGGAAGAUGACUAAUUCUGAAAUAUCUAGGGCUUUCAAUUUUUCCUAUAGGUAAGUGAUAGAGCACAAAAAAAUCAGUUCUUAGGUUUGUGUGUUUACUUAGUAAGGGACUGUCUGAAAUGGUGGCAAUCUGAAGGAUGUCUAUGACCUGUUUAAAAAUGUAGUCUGGGAUAGUCCUUCAUUUGGGUAUGAUUCCAAGGGAAACAGACCUCAUGUGGCAGACCUGCUACUCUAUCACACUCACCUCUUAAACUGUUUCAUCUUCAUUACUCAUCUAUGAGAAAUAUUUCUCAAAGUCUUCUAUUAAUCAUCUCUAGAGCAAAUAACAACUUAAUUGAUUCAUUGUUCAAGAAAGAAAACAUUUGAAUCAUUAUAUCAUAUAAAAAAUUAUCAAAAUGUGUUAAUUCAUCUUCUCAUUCCUUACAGAAGGAUUCAGAUUGUCUUCUAUUGGCAAAACAACAUAUUUCAAAGAAUAAAGAUAAUUUUGGAAAAUUAAAGCUUUCCUCGUCUAAGUGUCUAGCUAUAAAAUAUAAUUGAGUACUAUAUGAUAAGGCAAAAACUGAAAGAAAAUCACUUUUCUGUUUUCUGAGCAAUUUCCUGGGAGUUCUCUUUAUAAUAUGUUCUAACUGAGUAUUAAAGUCUACCAUAUAGGUUGUUAUCUGUGGAAUUGUUUUGGCCCAGUACCAUUAUACUUCUAACAUUAAUGGAUAAGUCCUUAACUAUUAACUUUACUAUCAGUACGUUAUUUAAAAUUAAAUACAAAAAACACUAAGGAGAAAACUUAAAUGCCCCAUAUGUAUUUAAAAAUCUAAUUCUUAAAAUAUUGACCUUCACAAAACUGAAAUGAGGUUUACUUCUAAGGACCUUAUAUUUUGAUUUUGAACAGCUUAUGCAGUAUUUUUAUGAACUAAAAUAAACCUAUUUGAAGUCAUGAAUAUAGUUUUCUGAGGAGCUUUUGGUUUGCUUUGUUUUUUUGGUUUUUUUUAAUCAAGUAGAAUUGGUGAUUUAAUAAGCAUAUGAGCCUA